rnacentral:lncRNA from 1 species
CUAUAUACAAGUUGCAGUGGCAUAAAAAAACAAACAACUAGUCCUAACUGGAGAGGUAACAGUUGCUUGUUCACUGGGUUGGCCAAACUGCAAAAUGAACAAAAGUGGAGUCAGAAAGCAAAACAGUAUGAUAGAAUUUGAGAAACCUCAAGAAAAUCAGUAUCUAGCUCUAAAAUGGUAGAGUACAAACUGUGACAAAGGAGAGUACCAAGAAAUAAGGCUAUAGAGGUAGGUAGUAGCUACCUAUCUUGACCACAGAGCAGUGUAGGCAUUAGGAAACCAGGUUCAUAGUUUAGACAGAUCUGUCUGGCAACAAUGUAAAAUGGAUUAGGGGGAGGGGAUGAGAAAGAUGGUUGUCAGAGAGACCAGUAUAGGUGACGGGUUAUGAAAACUUAAAUUAAGGCAAUAGUGCAAUGGAGAUAGAAGGGCAGGAAUGUUAGAUGUAGUAAGCAGAUGACAGAACUGAUAGCACUCAAUCAUCAUCAACUUGAGUGAUGGGCAGGGAUUGGGCACAGGCGCCAGAUGAAGGAAAAAGCAGAGUGGAGAAUAAAUUCUGGGUUCAAGUGACAGGUGAAUGGUGGUGUUACUCACUGAGAAGAGGAACCGGUUCAGGGAGGGAAGGAAAGUGUGUUCUGGUUUUGAAUGUGUAGAGUCUGUGAUGCAUUUGAAAUAGCCAGUUCUAAUAUACAUGGGAAUAUAAUCUGGAGCCCAGAGGAGAUAAAUGUCUGGGUAAAGGAGAUAAAUGUCUAGGUGAAAGGUAUGGCAGUAACAGAAAAAACAGGAGUGGAUAAGAUCACUCAGAUAAAGUACUGAAUAAAAAGAAACAAACACAAAACCAGUAACAAAAGGCUUCUGGGGAUACCAAUAAUUAAGUGGCAGAGAAGUCCACAGAAGACAGAGACUGAGCAGUCAUAAAGGCAGAAGCAGAACCUAGAGAAUGAUGUCAUGGAAACCAAGGUAGUGCACAGUUUUCAGAAGGACAGGGUGAGUAAAUGGAGCCAUGAAGUGACUGGUUUUUCACAAAUCAACUGGCUGGUAAAACUUUCACAAUGCCAAAUAUAAGGUUUGGGGGUACACGUACUUACAACUGUAUUAAUUGAGACCCACGAGGCAAGAGAAGCACCUAGAAGAACAGAAUUACAAGGAAGAGAAUGGGGUUAGAAAUUUGUAGAAGACCGAGAAAGGUCUAAUGUAUAACAAUUUUUAAAACUUCAUGUGGAAAAAUUAUUCAUUUCACCAGUGACAUUAGGAUCUACUUAUGACCUCUGAUGAGGCCCAAAGAUCUUUAGUGACUUAACAAGUCACAAAAUCAGAAGUGGAAUUUGAAUCUAGAUCAUCUGACUGAAAAUCAACUUUCUUUCAGUUCUUUGUUAUGACUCAUUAUCAGGUUCUUAUUUUAGUAACCAGCUGUGCUUGGUCCCCAUCAACCAAGCCUGCUCUUGCCUUAGCAAAUGACCCUGUACAUUACAGAGGUAAACAUGAUAAACCAA